rnacentral:rRNA from 1 species
ACGAACGCUGGCGGCGUGCUUAACACAUGCAAGUCGUACGGUAAGGCCCUUUCGGGGGUACACGAGUGGCGAACGGGUGAGUAACACGUGAGUAACCUGCCCACAACUUUGGGAUAACGCUAGGAAACUGGUGCUAAUACUGGAUAUGUGCUCCUGCUGCAUGGUGGGGGUUGGAAAGCUCCGGCGGUUGUGGAUGGACUCGCGGCCUAUCAGCUUGUUGGUGGGGUAGUGGCCUACCAAGGCGGCGACGGGUAGCCGGCCUGAGGGGGUGACCGGCCACAUUGGGACUGAGAUACGGCCCAGACUCCUACGGGAGGCAGCAGUGGGGAAUAUUGCACAAUGGGCGCAAGCCUGAUGCAGCAACGCCGCGUGCGGGAUAACGGCCUUCGGGUUGUAAACCGCUUUCAGCAGGGACGAAGCUUUUUGUGACGGUACCUGCAGAAGAAGCACCGGCUAACUACGUG